rnacentral:lncRNA from 1 species
GGAUUCUUGGCCCAGGUGAGACCUGCCCUGAGCCCAGGACCAAUUCUCCAUGGAUGGCCGCUGCUCACCUACUAGAAGGGCAAACCCGAGAAGACUGAUAUUAUGUGAUGCUGCUGGGGAAAUGGGCAUUCACACGUACUGUGCAGUGGUGUGCAUGUGUGUGAGCGUGCACGCAGGCAUGUGUGCAUGUGAACAUGUGUGCAAUUUGCUGGUAUGAGUGAUUAACUUGGUCACCUGGAGCCAGACUAAGUUAAAAGACCAACGGUGGCUCCUGGCAGCCGUGUGAGCUUGGACAAGUCAUGUACCAUCUCCAUUCCUCAGUUUUCUCAUUUGUAAAAUAGGGGUAAUAGUACCUCUUCUCAGGGUUAUCAUGAGAAUGGUAAGUUAAUAUAUGUAAGGGCUUGGUUUAGGUCAUCUCCUAUCUGAGUCGAAACACUUUAGGAGUUCCCAUUGGGUCGAAUUGGAGCUGUUGCUGUCGGCUUAUGCCAGAGCCACAGCAAAGCCAGAUCCGAGCCACGUCUGCAAGCUAUACCACAGCUCACUGCAGUGAGGUCAGGGGUCGAACCCACAACCUCAUGGUUCCUAGUCGGAUUCGUUUCCGCUGCUCCAAGAUGGGAACACCCGAGAGCAGGUCUCUUAGUGGCUCCUCUUUGGCCAGUGCUUUGGAGCCUCCCUAGAGGUGAGACUCAAAUGUCACCAGCUCUACCCCACUGUGCAGCUACAUCUUGUAUCUUCAUGUCUAGGACCAGAGGCCAGGAACUCUAGGUUCUCAUGCUGGUUUUGCUUCUGACCUGUGUGAGUCUGCUUUCCUUCUAGGCCUCAGUUUCUCCAUCUGUACAGCAAAGGAGUUGGCUUGAAGAGAAUUGAAUGAUUUCAUAUGCCACUUCAGGUCAACUGGUGGUCGCUAGAGAUGUGCAUUAAGAAGGUUUCUGAAACUGUGCCUAGGUUAUAUAGGAAAGAGUACUUGUGAUUGAUUAGUGAUGUCUGGAAUGGACAUGGGAUGGAGGAGCAGGGCUCUGUUUGUCUUGUAUUCACCAUCCUGAAGCUAGAUGCUUAAUUUCUAAAGGGCCCACCUUCUCGAGCCACAGUGUUACAAAUGUUCAAAAUGAGACUCAUUAAUAUUUAGAGUCAAUCUAGGCAUGUCUUACGAAGGCCUCUUUCAAUAUUUCUCAGGUCUGAGAGUGGAAAAGGGUCUUCUAAAUCUCUGUUCCAGUUAUUCAUAAACGCAGCUUGUGGUUAACUAAAGAAAGAGAGAGUUUGGCUCUACGGAAUGGAACUCAUACAGGGAAGCAUGUGAGGGGGUGGUGACUAGCCUGGGAGGGGAUUGGGUGGCAAGCAUCAUGGAAUUCCAGGGAGCAGGCAGGCCUGAGAGAGUUACCUCUGAAUUUUAAGGCAGUGGAACCCAGGGAGCCAAUCUUACAAAGGUGCCCGGGGCUGGUUCUGCUCAAAGCAAGACCAGUGAUACGACUGGGACAUAGACAGCCUCUCUGGGAACAUCUUCCUGUAGACUCCAGCUCUAGGCCUUGGCUGUUUUGCCCUCCUCCUAACAGAAUUCCCUCCUGGAUGUAUAAAAUGGGCAGGAAGCAAAAGCCAAGAAGGAUUGGCUGGGUUUGGGGCUGCAGAUUUGAGAUUGAAAGCUUUGAGGGUAGAGGGAGAUUUUUUUUCUGGAGUCUCCACAGAAGCCUGAGGUCAUUAUAGGUUGCAAGGUUUGGAGGAGGAGAGAGAAGGGUGAGUAAAGGGCUACUCUUCCUGGCAGUGGUGGUUUUGUUGGAGGGCAUCUGUCGUGCUCCCAAGGGUUUCCCAGCCUGCAGGCAAUUUUCGAAUCCAUAAAGUUCGUAAGUACAGAGCUCAUCAACAAUUAAGCUCAUGUAACCAUCUCUCUCUUUAGAAAUCCAUUGAAAGUUAGAAGAAUGACUUCCAUUGUUCUUUAAAUUUAUUGUCUGCUAACUCAAUCAUGGUUCUUUUAGUAACUUAAUUGUUUCUGAAUUGAGGAACUUCUAACUCAACAUAAGUGUCAGAAAACGAAGUUGAUAGCUUAAAAAACUCGAGUUUAUACCCAGCAAGUACCUUUUCAUAUCUUUAUGCAAUAAGCAUUUCCUAAUAAGUCCUAAACAUACGAGUAAAGGCUGCAGUCUAUAGAGUUAUACAGCUGCUCUCACAAAGAGCUACAGUAGUCAGACAGACCUGGGUUCAAGGUUUCUUCCCUUGCCCUUUGCUGCCACUUACUGGUUGUAUGACCUUGGACAAGUGACUUAACUGACUUGUACCUCAGUUUUCUCAUCUGUAAAAUGAGUAUCUGCCGUGGAGGGCUGUUGCAAGAUUUAGUGAAUUAUUAUACAGAAACCACACAGCAGAGGGGAGUCUCCCACAUAGAAGGUACUUAACAAAUGGUAGCUAUUAUUAUUUUAUUACUAGAGUAAAUGCAAAUUCAUAGUAACUUUUAGUUGCAGUAAAGCAUGACUUCAGUAAUAAAUGUGGUAACAUCUAGAUACAACAGGGUAAAUACAGUAACACUUAGCUAUUGUAAUACAAUUAGAGUCCUGCACACAAUAACAGAAUCAGCUAUGUGGAUAUAGUAACAUAUAGAUAUUGUAAUAUAAUUGCAGUAAUACAGCCACAGUUACAUAUAUACAUAAUCAUUUUUAGCUAUACUAAGCUAGAUUUUUUAUUAUUUUAUUUAAGUAGCAGAGCUACCAUAUCAAAAUACUGCAUCAUACAACAGCCUUAUAUAUAUGUAUUACAAUAGUGUACAGAGAAGUUAGAUACAAUAAAAAUAGAUAUGUUUAAGUCACAACCAGAUAUUCCUUAUAAGGGAUAAAGAGCCAUAGUAAUAGUGGAUCCUAUUAUAUGGUUGCCAUGUCUUAUAGGAAUUGCGAUGUGUAAGUCUGAUAACGUGUAGACAGAGUACUACACAGCUGCAGACCUGAAGGAACACUGGUACAGAUGGGCAAUGUUACAUCCAGCAUUCUCUCUGCCAUUGGGAUUCAUACCCUUUUGGGGUCGGAGCUUUUCUCAGAAUCACUUGUUCUUGGGGGGAAAAAACCCCCAAAUUUCCCAAAUGCAUUUAUAAGUGGCAAAAUUCUGUGCCCAUAUAGCCCUAGCUCUAGUCUGAUAUUUAAUGUUUAGGUGUCCUGGAUUCAAAUACUUGAGAAUCAGAACAAGGAGAAAUAAUCUCUCAAGAGAUCAGACCUCGGUCCACAGGCAGGCAUAAUCCGGGCUGGUAUCUUAGUCCUCUUCAUGCUUACUGGACUCUGAUUUGAUUUGGCAUUUAGGUGACCCAGACUUCUGACCUCCUGGAGGAAACAAGACCUAUAUUUCUCCCUCUCUGAUCAUGGUUUUAAAAUCUGGCUACUCUUGUUUGCUAGUCUUACCACUGCUGAGGACAUCAGCUUUGUCUGAGCAAAAGUUUCUCUCUCUCCCUCUCUUUCUCUCUCUCUUUUUUUUCAUGGCUGCACCUGUUGCAUAUGGAGGUUCCCAGGCCAGGAGCUGAAUCAGGGCUGUAGUUUCUGGCCUAUGCCACAGUCACAGCAAUGUGGGAGAUCAGCUUUGUCUGAGCAAAAGUUUCUCUGCCCAUCUGUACCAGUGUUCCUUCAGGUCUGUGGCUGUGUAGUACUCUGUCUGCACGUUAUCAUACUUACACAUUGCAAUUCCUAUAAGACAUGGCAACCAUAUAAUAGGAUCCACUAUUACUCCUCACUUAACCCACUGAGUGAGGCCAGGGAUCGAACUUACGUUCUCAUGGAUACUAGCCAGAUUCAUUACCGCUGAGCCACAACAGGAACUCCCCCAAAAGUCUCUAUUGACCAAAAGGGCAGUUGCAAAUAGCCCAAUGCACAGGCUAGUAGAUUCUUUUAUAUGGGGAUGUUGGCAGCUCCUGUGGCUUGGCUAGUGUGUAGGGCAGCUUUGGAAGAGGAGUAACUACUUGGAGGCAGAUGUUGUCCACUGGAGCCAAACGGAUAGAUUUCUUCCUAGUCACAUUUUCCUGGACCAGUUUGGCAACCCAAGUCCUGAAUUCCUUAUAUCAGUUAGUUAUUGCUGCAUAGCAAAUAUCUCAAAGCUUUGUUUAAAGCAACACACAUUCCUUAUUGCUCAUGUGUUUACAGGUCAAGUGGAUAGUUCUUCUAAUCUGGGCCAGGCUUGGUUGGCUUUGGCUUUUAUCCAUCUUUGUUCACCUGACUGGUCUAGAUUGGCCUUGGUUGGAGAACCUGGUUCAAAUGGGGGCUCUUUCAAUGUGUCCCUCACAUCCUUCUAGCAGGCUUGUUCACAGGGCAGGAUUAUGGAAGACUAGGGAGAGGGGAAGCGGGGAGGAAGAAGGGGUAGGAAGAGAGGGAGGGGGAGAGGGAGAAAUGCACUUUCCCCUCUGUUGCAGUCUAUUGGUCACAGAAAAUCACAAGGCCACCCUAUUCAAGGAGUGAGAAAAUAGAGUCCACUUCUUGAUGGAGGGAGCUGCAAAGUCACAUGGUAAGGGUACCCCUACAGGGAGGACUAGAAGGUGGGAAAUAUUUUUUUAUAAUGACUCAACCAUAUUUGCUUUUCAGGGGUGGGGAUUGCUGGAGCCUUUGCAAACCCUCCUUUGGGUCCUUGAGCAGAGCCAAAGCUGCAUUUUGGGAGAGAUUUCCAACCCUGUGUGCCUGAUGCCUGCUCCAUGUGGGUAGUAAAGCACAUUGUCUGGUCCUUAACCCUCAUAAGCUCCUCCUUCCUUUGGCCUGUUUGCCCUAGGUUACCCCACUCUGACACAAAGGGGGGUCUCCUUUGGCUUCUACUGACCUGCACCUUGCAGGUUUUCCCCCAGUGAUCUGGGCCACAUUUCCUUAAUGAGAAUUUGAAAUCUGGACUCAGAGAACUGGAAAUCUUGGACCAGUUAGUGGUGAGUGGAAUUUCAUGGUGUAGAGCCAGGACUAGAGAAGGGAACAGAGCAGACUCUCAUCUCUCUGAGAGUGGAGAGAGCCAUGUGAACUGGAAAGGAGAUGGAAGGAGAAGCAGCCUUGUCUUUCUGCUCUCCUGCUUCUGUAAAGCUUGGGUGAACUUUGUUUUCUGUCUCUGAGUUCCUUAAAACCUCUAUUUCCUUUUAAUACCUUCUUCAUUUUCUAUUUUUUUGCAACCCAACACUGUUGGUUAUAGGGCCCCCUUUGGGAGGGAAGGCAGGCCAGACAGCUUCUAUGACAGAGUGCCCACCAGCAGUUCAAGGGUAUCCUUCCCUAGAUGCCAGAGCAUGUGCUGUCCUGGGUCUCACUGAGAGCUCCAUCUUGAAAAAACUAGCUCUCUUUAUCUAGCUUCUGCCUCAAAUCAGAGAAACAAUUGCUAUCUGAGAAAGAGAGAGGAUAAGAGGGUCACUGAUGGGAGUUCCUGUUGUGGCUCAGCAGGUUAAGAACCCAACCAAUAUUCGUGGGAAUGCAGUUUGAUCGCUGGCCUUGCUCGGUGGGUUAAGGAUCCAGCAUUGCUGUGAGCUGUGGUAUAGGCUGCAGACAUGGGUCAGAUCUGGUGUUGCUGUGGCUGUGGUGUAGGCCAGCAGCUGCAGCUCUGUUUCAACCCCUAGCCUGGGAACUUCCAUAUGCUGCGGGUGUGGCCCUCCCCCCCAAAAAGGGUCACUGACAUUUACUUAUGAACAUAAAAUAAUCUUUACCUUUGGGAAAGAGACAUAUAACUCACUAGCCACAAAGAUCAUUUCUCUAAACUAGGUUUGAAUAUACUUCCUUUUACUUUUAUAUAGGGCCGACAUCUCAAAAUAAUUCCUACACAUUUUAAACUCUUAUUGAAAGCAUUGUCAAAAAAAUAUUCUCUCUAGAAAGUCCUGUGUGAUCAAUUGCUUUAAGAAUUCACUGAUAGGACUUCCCUGAUGGCACAGUGGGUUAAAGAUCCAGCAUUGUCACUGCUGUGGCUCAGGCUGCAGUUGUGGUACGGUUUGAGCUCUGGCCCAGGAAUUUCUGCAUGCCCUGGGCAUGGCCAACAAAAGGGAAUUCACUGAUAGACAGAAGUUAUGAAGAAUGUUUUAUGAGAGAGACCCAAUCUUUUCUCUUUGUGCCAUUGCUGCCAGGAAACUCACACCCAAGUUGGCCACUUGAUCACUUGCACAUAGUUCCGGAUAAUUUCCCAUGUUUUUCUGUCUGAAAAUGUUCUCUGGCUGUGGGAAUGGGCUUUGCAGUCUUCAAUCAAUAGAGGAUGAGAGUUGAUGGAUUGGAAACCAAUUAAACCAAUUAAAUAUAUAUUUUGCUGCCAUAACACAUUACCACAAACUUAAUGGUUUAAAACAACACAAAUUCAUUAUUUUACCAUUCUAGAGGUCAAAAAUCUGAAAUGGGUCUUAAGGGCUAAAAUCAAGGUGUUGGUAGAACUGUAUUUCUUCUUAAGACUCCGGGGGAGGAUCUGUUUUGUUGCUUUUUCUAUUGUCUAGAAUCUGAUUUCCUUGGCUCAUGGCCCCUUCCUCCAUCUUCAAAGUCAGGAAUAUUAUAUCUUCCAAUCUAUCUCUCUGACCCUCUCAUAAAAAUAUUUGUGAUUGUAUUGGGUUCUCCAAGAUAAUCCAGAAUUAUCUAUCCAUGUCAAGACCCUUAACUUACUUACAUCUGCAAAGUUCCUUUUGCCAUAUAAGGUAACAUAUUCAGGUUCUGGAGAUUAGGAUGGAUGUCAUUGAGGGGGCACUAUUCAGCCUACCACAAUAGACACAUCUCAGCUUCCUUGGCCAACUGAUGGGAAAAUUCUGAGGUCUGGUCUAUAGCCUCACGAAGGAUCCUUAGAGAUAUUGAGCCCAGUUGCUCAAAGCAGUAACCCACUCAUAGCCACAUCUUUAUUAGUAUUCUUUUCUUCUUGUGUUCCCACUUUCUCACUGGGCUCACUUCUCAAGUAAACUCCUUGCACCCAAACUUUGUGUCUGAGACUUGGUGUCCCAAACUGAAAUAGGAACCAUAUCAGCCUCCUUCUUUGCAUUCCUUGGCAUUUCUCAUUUUUUAACAGUUUUAUUACUAAAAAAAAAAAAAAAAAAAAAAAAAA